ACGAUCCGAAAUACAGUACAGAAGCACAACGGCAGAUAAGGCGCCGUGUGCUCCUGACGCGUACAAGACCCAGCUCGGUUCGGCCCCAUGCACAGGCACGUACCCGAGCGUCCUGCGCCGUGCGUGACUCUAACGCAACACGGCAGUUACGUCGCAAUAACUAGACUUAUCUCCACUGCGCUGCGAUAAGUCAGCGCUUAUUGACUCCUUACUGCCGUGUAGCGUUACAAACCGCCACGGCCCCAAACGAUAAUCCCAAUCUCUCAAACCGACAAUAGCCUCCACUCAUGCCUCAAGCGGCCUAGCAACUCAUUCGUGGCCCUCAGCGGCCUCCUACCUCCGGCCUCGCAGCUCCCGAUACCCCACCAAGUCCGCCGUGCCCGCCCCAGCCCGCCCGUGUUGAGGUUGCACUAGUGGCCGAAAGUGCUGCCAGAGUUUGGUAGUAGUCCUCAACGCGGGGAGGUCAUGGUGCGGGCGACGGCAGCCCUGGUGGCUGGGCUUGAUUGGCUUCGCGUAUGCAGCUCUUCUCGCAAAGCGCUCGGCCCAACGGCCGGUCACGCAAACCAAGGUGCGGUCGGCGGUGAUGGCGGCGGCGUUCGUGCCCUUGCGCUACCGAAAUCAUGUGUCUCGAACACCGCGGAGCGCUCCGCCCAUCGCCUUGCUUGCGCACGAACGUACGGUCCUAGUUGCACACUCGACAGCGGUCGAUAGAACGAGCUUCGUGCUUGGGGAUAUUGGCUGCACGAGCAGCACCAUCACAUGGGGAUGAGCGCCGCCGGAGGCGCCGCCGGCACCUGCUGCAGGCGGCGCAGGGCGACGCCAACGCGGGGCCUGACAGCGCCACACUCCGUCGGUCAUGGGCGGUCAAUGGUCACUACCAGAAGACAAGCAGCAAUAGGAACACGACUGGCGUUGCAAGGGCCAUGAUACCAGACUCACAAACGUAUCAGGUGCACCAAUGGCCACGACAGAAACACACAUGCAUUGUCCCGCGUGCGCCAGCCACGCAGACGACGCCGGGGCGUUACAGGGAAACACAUGCAUCCUUGUUCAGGUGUGUGGCUUCUGGGCAGCUGUGGCCGUCCGUGUGCCUAGGAAAGGUAACAGUGCGUGUUGGCACGUGUUGGCACGAAGCACUGGAGACCUCGCUCGGUACUCUCUACCGGCCCCCAGGGCCAUGCCAUAACACGUGUUGACGUUGUAGGCUGCUCGGAACAACCUUGGGAAUAAUAACAACUUCGUGACUCGAAGCUGGGACAGACUAGCCAACAUGAGCCACGCAGGAGAAGGCGCGAGGUGCAACACUAGAGCGGUUUUACGUACGCGAGUCACGCGCGGCAACCUGCCCUUCACCCGCGCCGUCGUGGUGUAGGAUGCGGGCAGCCAUGCCCAGCCGUGCAGCAUGGCCACGAACACUAAUUUCUUUCUUGCUAGCUAGGUGCCAUGCUUGAGAUUUGCAGUGUCUUGCAUAAGAGUCACUACCAAUCAAGCAGUAGGUACACCCAUAGAUAGCAUCACCCCGGCGGACGCAGGACAGGCGCGCACGUGAAUGCCUCCAAACGCCGCGGGGAUGCAUGCACACAAUGUCCCGUACGUGCCGAUACCGUACGCCACGGCGGCUGUGGGGUGUACCGUAAUAGCAGGGAGGGCAACAUGAAGGGUAACACCUCAGCAACCCCAGCAAGGCUGGCCUGGUCGAGCGGCGCGGAGGGGUGAAGGAUACCCGGCACGCGUGGAACACGCAAUGUAUCUAUAGUGAUAGAAGGCGUAGUGAUGGGAGGAAAUAAGGAGCACUCGGGGCCGCGAUGGCGGGUUGGAUGCGCCACGGGCCCCGGCCCAGCCAAAGGGAGCGAACGCCGGGCGGAGCCGGUGGGUGAGCGACUCGAGGGACGUGCCAGUAGUGAACCCAUCGCAGUGGCGGAUGGGUCAUCCAAUGUGAGAGAUGAUACAGCCACGCCGGCAGCCAAACUCCGCACUCGCCCACGUACGGGCACGUUGUGGUACUGCUGUGAGGAGGCCGGGCUGAGUUGGGAUGCCUGCCGACUGCCAAGCCCGCAGGGCACUGUCGGCCUGGCUACCCACAUGUGAGCCUGUGUCGCCAUACGCUCUUAAUAGUAAUGACAUAUAGCACACUGCUCCUAGCACUUCGGUGAUAAGUAAUUGCCCCGCCGGGUGAAGUAAGGCCGGGGCUGAAAGGAACCAAGGCUGGUUCCCUAGGCGUCCACUGGCGAGUGGGCAGGCGACACAUUCAGUUGGCAUUGACGUGCAGGGGUUCCUGUUGACGUGCGUUGCGGAACUAAUGCGUACGUUGGCUUGGGUCUCUGGGUUCAUGAGGCAUUGACAGAACACGCUGCCCCUGCUAUGGUUCUGACCAAGGAACAUGUAUGCAUACAUGUCCUGAAGGAUUGGCAGGGAGCGUGCCGCACAGCACGCAAGCCGCGUGACUACGGUAAGCAUGACGCCAUAACGUGACACAGAUGCCGGGCAUGCCAUACAGGCGGCCAACGCUACGGCACAAGCCAGCUUGACGCGUCCACAGAUACAUAUGCGUCAUGCGGUAUUGUUAUUGGCAAUAGCAUGCUGGCCGAACUGCACAAAACUCCACAAUUCGGCACUUGGGCCUAGCGCACACAUCGAAUGCAUAUAGGUUGGCUUGGGGUGCGUCAGCCAAACUACAAUGGUGAUGCCGCGUGAUAGUAUGAUGUGCGUGCGGACCUCAAGACGUACAGGGUGACGCAUGAUCACGUAAGCCCGCUCCGUUGUCAACACGAAGCAAUAGCGAGGCGCAGGCUUGCCGUGCACGGCACACUCAAGGCGUAUUGCGACAGGGCACGCAGCAGGGCACGCAACAAGUCGAAGCGUCCAUAACGACAGGGCAGGCAGCAUAAUUGCAUGCGGCACACGGGCAAUAUCGCAAGACACAUGAUGCGAGGCGCAAAGCCUGUUGCUGGCGGCACACACGCCGUAUCCGAACGUGGCGCUCAGACCACACAUUGUCCACAACGCAAAGGCAUGUACAACGAAGGCACGUAAGCAUUUCAAUGCCGUCUAUAAUCCACAACGCAAGAGUGUGGAGCCCGUUGCUUGCGGCACACAGGUCGUAUCAUAAGGGCACGUAUGCCAUCUAUUACCCAAAAGCAAGGGUGAGCUGUUGCUUGCGGCACACAGGUCACAUCAUACGGGCACGUAUGCCGUGAAUUGUCCAUAAAACAAGGGUGCAGAGCCCGUUGCUUGCGGCGCACAGGCCGUAUCAUAAGAACACGUACGCGGCGCAUUGUCCAUGAAGCAAGGGCGCGGAGCCCGUUGCCUGCGGCACACAGGCCGUAUCAUGAGGGCACGUACGCCGUGAAGUGUCCAUGAAGCAAGGGCGCGGAGCCCGUUGCCUGCGGCGCACAGGCCGUAUUAUGAGGGCACGUACGCCGUAAAUUGUCCAUGUAGCAAGGGCGCGGAGCCCGUUGCUUGCGGCGCACAGGCCGUAUCGUAGGGGCACGUAUGCCGUCCAUUGUCCGUGAAGCAAGGGCGCGGAGCCCGUUGCCUGCGGCACACAGGCCGUAUCAUAAGGGCACGUAUGCCGUCCAUUGUCCAUAAAGCAAGGGCGCGGAGCCCGUUGCUUGCGGCGCACAGGCCGUAUCAUAAGGGCACGUAUGCCGUCCAUUGUCCAUAAAGCAAGGGCGCGGAGCCCAUUGCUUGCGGCACACAGGCCGUAUCAUAAGGGCACGUAUGCCGUCCAUUGUCCAUAAAGCAAGGGCGCGGAGCCCGUUGCUUGCGGCGCACAGGCCGUAUCAUAAGGGCACGUAUGCCGUCCAUUGUCCAUAAAGCAAGGGCGCGGAGCCCAUUGCUUGCGGCACACAGGCCGUAUCAUAAGGGCACGUAUGCCAUCCAUUGUCCAUAAGGCAAGGGCGCAAAGCCCGUUGCUUGCGGCGCACAGGCCGGAUCCCAACGGCACACACGCCCUUUCCCCAAGGGCACGCGGGCCCUGCGGCCUGGAUAGGCAGACAGGAGAAGUACCGCGCCAAAAGCCCUGAGGUCUUGGGGAGGUGGGGGUGGCACGAUGGAAGAUGAAAGGUAUUGCACAAAGCUGUGAACUGUAAAGCGACGGGUAGACACGAAGGCACGGCAAGCAGGACCGCGCAUGGCAAGCAAGUAGCCCGCCCGCACAGCUGUGCAUGCCCUUUUGCUUUCAGUGACUUGCCGAACGCCUUGUCCGCAACGCUUCGCGCGCCUUUGCUCCGCUUGAAAGCUCCGCUCUGCUCCGAUUUGCUCCCGAAUGCGGCCCCCGAACCAAAGCGUGGUCCAAAGCGCCAGAGAAGCGUCGAAGGGCAUUCCCUUACGAUCAGAGAGCGAGCGUGAUCAAGCUAAGGGGUUCCAUUGAGCAGGAUCGCGCAACAAAGCGCUGCAACUCCGUCUGAGUGUAUAUUAAACGCUUAUUCGGUCCAGACAUGGUAAAGUAUAGUUAGAACCAGGUAUAGGAUUGCAAAGAAAGUCCAGAAAUGUAGGGAACGUUUAAGUGCGACACACUGAGGUCACCGUCCCGGCAGAGGGACGAUCCGAAAUACAGUACAGAAGCACAACGGCAGAUAAGGCGCCGUGUGCUCCUGACGCGUACAAGACCCAGCUCGGUUCGGCCCCAUGCACAGGCACGUACCCGAGCGUCCUGCGCCGUGCGUGACUCUAACGCAACACGGCAGUUACGUCGCAAUAACUAGACUUAUCUCCACUGCGCUGCGAUAAGUCAGCGCUUAUUGACUCCUUACUGCCGUGUAGCGUUACAAACCGCCACGGCCCCAAACGAUAAUCCCAAUCUCUCAAACCGACAAUAGCCUCCACUCAUGCCUCAAGCGGCCUAGCAACUCAUUCGUGGCCCUCAGCGGCCUCCUACCUCCGGCCUCGCAGCUCCCGAUACCCCACCAAGUCCGCCGUGCCCGCCCCAGCCCGCCCGUGUUGAGGUUGCACUAGUGGCCGAAAGUGCUGCCAGUACUGGGUGUGUCGCAUGUAUGAAGUGCCUGAUAGCAGCAGAGUCCAGACAACCACGCACGCCGCAGCGCCCACGGGUGCCACCACAUUAAUCCGCGGCGGCACCAGGGGGGGCGGGUGGGUUGUCACCGUCCCGGCAGAGGGACGAUCCGAAAUACAGUACAGAAGCACAACGGCAGAUAAGGCGCCGUGUGCUCCUGACGCGUACAAGACCCAGCUCGGUUCGGCCCCAUGCACAGGCACGUACCCGAGCGUCCUGCGCCGUGCGUGACUCUAACGCAACACGGCAGUUACGUCGCAAUAACUAGACUUAUCUCCACUGCGCUGCGAUAAGUCAGCGCUUAUUGACUCCUUACUGCCGUGUAGCGUUACAAACCGCCACGGCCCCAAACGACAAUCCCAAUCUCUCAAACCGACAAUAGCCUCCACUCAUGCCUCAAGCGGCCUAGCAACUCAUUCGUGGCCCUCAGCGGCCUCCUACCUCCGGCCUCGCAGCUCCCGAUAACCCCACCAAGUCCGCCGUGCCCGCCCCAGCCCGCCCGUGUUGAGGUUGCACUAGUGGCCGAAAGUGCUGCCAGAGUUUGGUAGUAGUCCUCAACGCCGGGAGGUCAUGGUGCGGGCGACGGCAGCCCUGGUGGCUGGGCUUGAUUGGCUUCGCGUAUGCAGCUCUUCUCGCAAAGCGCUUGGCCCAACGGCCGGUCAUGCAAACCAAGGUGCGGUCGGCGGUGAUGGCGGUGGCGUUCGUGCCCUUGCGCUACCGAAAUCAUGUGUCUCGAACACCGCGGAGCGCUCCGCCCAUCGCCUAGCUUGCGCACGAACGUACGGUCCUAGUUGCACACUCAACAGCGGUCAAUAGAACGAGCUUCGUGCUUGGGGAUAUUGGCUGCACGAGCAGCACCAUCACGCGGGGAUGAGCGCCGCCGGAGGCGCCGCCGGCACCUGCUGCAGGCGCAGGGCGACGCCAACGCGGGGCCUGACAGCGCCACACUCCGUCGGUCAUGGGCGGCCAAUGGUCACUACCAGAAGACAAGCAGCAAUAGGAACACGACUGGCUUUGCAAGGGCCAUGAUACCAGACUCACAAACGUAUCAGGUGCACCAAUGGCCACGACAGAAACACACAUGCGUUAUCCCGCGUGCGCCAGCCAUGCAGACGACGCCGGGGCGUUACAGGGAAACACAUGCAUCCUUGUUCAGGUGUGUGGCUUGUGGGCAGCUGUGGCCGUCCGUGUGCCCAGGAAAGGUAACAGUGCGUGUUGGCACGUGUUGGCACGAACCACUGGAGACCUCGGUACUCUCUACCGGCCCCCAGGGCCAUGCCAUAACACGUGUUGACGUUGUAGGCUGCUCGGAACAACCUUGGGAAUAAUAACAACGUCGUGACUCGAAGCUGGGACAGGCUAGCCAACAUGCGCCACGCAGGAGAAGGCGCGAGUUGCAACACUAGAGCGGUUUUACGUACGCGAGUCACGCGCGGCAACCUGCCCUUCGUUCACCCGCGCCGUCGUGGUGUAGGAUGCGGGCAGCCAUGCCCAGCCGUGCAGCAUGGCCACGAACACUAAUUUCUUUCUUGCUAGCUAGGUGCCAUGCUUGAGAUUUGCAGUGUCUUGCAUAAGAGUCACUACCAAUCAAGCAGUAGGUACACCCAUAGAUAGCAUCACCCCGGCGGACGCAGGACAGGCGCGCACGUGAAUGUUUGCCUCCAAACGCCGCGGGGAUGCAUGCACACAAUGUCCCGUACGUGCCGAUACCGUACGCCACGGCAGCUGUGGGGUGUACCGUAAUAGCAGGGAGGGCAACAUGAAGGGUAACACCUCAGCAACCCCAGCAAGGCUGGCCUGGUCGAGCGGCGCGGAGGGGUGAAGGAUACCCGGCACGCGUGGAACGCGCAAUGUAUCUAUAGUGAUAGAAGGCGUAGUGAUGGGAGGAAAUAAGGAGCACUCGGGGCCGCGAUGGCGGGUUGGAUGCGCCACGGGCCCCGGCCCAGCCAAAGGGAGCGAACGCUGGGCGGAGCCGGUGGGUGAGCGACUCGAGGGACGUGCCAGUAGUGAACAGCAGUGGCGGAUGGGUCAUCCAAUGUGAGAGAUGAUACAGCCACGCCGGCAGCCAAACUCCGCACUCGACCACGUACGGGCACGUCGUGGUACUGCUGUGAGGAGGCCGGGCUGAGUUGGGAUGCCUGCCAAGCCUGGCUACCCACAUGUGAGCCUGUGUCGCCAUACGCUCUUAAUAGUAAUGACAUAUAGCACACUGCUCCUAGCACUUCGGUGAUAAGUAAUUGCCCCGCCGGGUGAAGUAAGGCCGGGGCUGAAAGGAACCAAGGUUGGUUCCCUAGGCGUCCACUCGCGAGUGGGCAGGCGACACAUACAGUUGGCAUUGACGUGCGUUGCGGAACUAAUGCGUACGUUGGCUUGGGUCUCUGGGUUCAUGAGGCAUUGACAGAACACGCUGCCCCUGCUAUGGCUCUGACGAAGUAACAUGUAUGCAUACAUGUCCUGAAGGAUUGGCAGGGAGCGUGCCGCACAGCACGCAAGCCGCGUGACUACGGUAAGCAUGAGGCCAUAACGUGACACAGAUGCCGUGCCAUACAGGCGGCCAACGCUACGGCACAAGCCAGCUUGACGCGUCCACAGAUACAUACAUGGCGCCUGACACCUGGAUAGGAGCUAUCAGUCUGACUGUGGGGUCGAUGCUACCCCGGCAUGGAUCUGGGUUGAACGGUUGGUGGUACCAUCGCGCGGGCAUGGCGGGUCGAGUAGCGUGUUUCAUGCACGGCACUCCCGCUAACCAGCUACACACCGCAGUGUACUGGUUAUCCAACAACUACAUUCAGACCAUUCUGGUAUCCCACUCAAACCUGCGCCAAGUGUCAGGAAAAGCGCUUGCCAAGUCGGCUACCCGCUUUCACAGGAUGGCGAGCGGGUGACUGGCAUGUGUACAGGCGGGUGGGCCAACAAGAGGGGAGGGCGGAUGGGUGCCGUGACUUGGUGGUGGGCCCCACCGCGAGCAGCAACAGCCCAGCCCAACACACGGGCGCCAUCCAAACCCACCAGGCAGGCUGUAAUCCCAGCUCCGACCGUAUCUCGCAACAAAAUGUUGGUUGCGCAGGGUCGGGCUCACUGCGUGACACAGCGUCCGAUGCCUGGUGCAGGGCACGAAGGCAUGUUUAUGCGUCAUGCGGUAUAGUUAUGCGUCAUGCGGUAUUGUUAUUGGCUGGGCAUAGCAUGCUGGCCGAACUGCACAAAACUCCACAUCGCUCACUGAGGGCGAAAUAUCCGGAAAAACAAAUUCGGCACUUGGGCCUAGUGCACACAUCGAAUGCAUAUAGGUUGGCUUGGGGUGCGUCAGCCAAACUACAAGGGUGGUGCCGCGUGAUAGUAUGAUGUGCGUGCGGACCUCAAGACGUACAGGGUGACGCAUGAUCACGUAAGCCCGCUCCGUUGUCAACACGAAGCAAUAGCGAGGCGCAGGCUUGCCGUGCACGGUACACUCAAGGCGUAUUGCGACAGGGCACGCAGCAGGGCACGCAACAAGUCGAAGCGUCCAUAACGACAGGGCAGGCAGCAUAAUUGCAUGCGGCACACAGGCCAUAUCGCAAGACACAUGAUGCGAGGCGCAAAGCCUGUUGCUGGCGGCACACACGCCGUAUCCGAACGUGGCGCUCAGACCACACAUUGUCCACAACGCAAAGGCAUGUACAACGAAGGCACGUAAGCAUUUCAAUGCCGUCUAUAAUCCACAACGCAAGAGUGUGGAGCCCGUUGCUUGCGGCACACAGGUCGUAUCAUAAGGGCACGUAUGCCAUCUAUUACCCAAAAGCAAGGGUGCGAAGCCGUUGCUUGCGGCACACAGGUCACAUCAUACGGGCACGUAUGCCGUGAAUUGUCCAUAAAACAAGGGUGCGGAGCCCGUUGCUUGCGGCGCACAGGCCGUAUCAUAAGAACACGUACGCGGCGCAUUGUCCAUGAAGCAAGGGCGCGGAGCCCGUUGCCUGCGGCACACAGGCCGUAUCAUGAGGGCACGUACGCCGUGAAGUGUCCAUGGAGCAAGGGCGCGGAGCCCGUUGCCUGCGGCGCACAGGCUGUAUCAUGAGGGCACGUACGCCGUAAAUUGUCCAUGAAGCCAGGGCGCGGAGCCCGUUGCUUGCGGCGCACAGGCCGUAUCAUAGGGGCACGUAUGCCGUCCAUUGUCCAUAAAGCAAGGGCACGGAGCCCAUUGCUUGCGGCGCACAGGCCGUAUCAUAAGGGCACGUAUGCCGUCCAUUGUCCAUAAAGCAAGGGCGCGGAGCCCGUUGCUAGCGGCGCACAGGCCGUAUCAUAGGGGCACGUAUGCCGUCCAUUGUCCAUAAAGCAAGGGCGCGGAGCCCGUUGCUUGCGGCACACAGGCCGUAUCAUAAGGGCACGUAUGCCGUCCAUUGUCCAUAAAGCAAGGGCGCGGAGCCCGUUGCUUGCGGCGCACAGGCCGUAUCAUAAGGGCACGUAUGCCGUCCAUUGUCCAUAAAGCAAGGGCGCGGAGCCCAUUGCUUGCGGCACACAGGCCGUAUCAUAAGGGCACGUAUGCCGUCCAUUGUCCAUAAGGCAAGGGCGCAAAGCCCGUUGCUUGCGGCGCACAGGCCGGAUCCCAACGGCACACACGCCCCUUCCCCAAGGGCACGCGGGCCCUGCGGCCUGGAUAGGCAGACAGGAGAAGUACCGCGCCAAAAGUCCUGAGGGUCUUGGGGAGGUGGGGGUGGCACAAUGGAAGAUGUGGAAAGGUAUUGCACAAAGCUGUGAACUGUAAAGCGACGGGUAGACACGAAGGCACGGCAAGCAGGACCGCGCAUGGCAAGCAAGUAGCCCGCCCGCACAGCUGUGCAUGCCCUUUUGCUUUCAGUGACUUGCCGAACGCCUUGUCCGCAACGCUUCGCGCGCCUUUGCUCCGCUUGAAAGCUCCGCUCUGCUCCGAUUUGCUCCCGAAUGCGGCCCCCGAACCAAAGCGUGGUUCAAAGCGCCAGAGAAGCUUCGAAGGGCAUUCCCUUACGAUCAGAGAGCGAGCGUGAUCAAGCUAAGGGGUUCCAUUGAGCAGGAUCGCGCAACAAAACGCUGCAACUCCGUCUGAGUAUAUAUUAAACGCUUAUUCGGUCCAUACAUGGUCAAGUAUAGUUAGAACCAGGUAUAGGAUUGCAAAGAAAGUCCAGAAAUGUAGGGAACGUUUAAGUGCGACACACUGAGGUCACCGUCCCGGCAGAGGGACGAUCCGAAAUACAGUACAGAAGCACAACGGCAGAUAAGGCGCCGUGUGCUCCUGACGCGUACAAGACCCAGCUCGGUUCGGCCCCAUGCACAGGCACGUACCCGAGCGUCCUGCGCCGUGCGUGACUCUAACGCAACACGGCAGUUACGUCGCAAUAACUAGACUUAUCUCCACUGCGCUGCGAUAAGUCAGCGCUUAUAAUAUCCCUAGGUAAUAUGCCGUGCAUGGAAUGCAUAUCGAAUGUGCACAAAAUGCACCCGUGGAGUCGUUUGCACAACCUUGGGAGGCGCGAUGAUGGUGCUGCGCAUGGGAGUGUCGGGAAGCCGCGCCUAGCACGGACCCAGUCUGGCGCUUGCGCGCUACGGGGCUUACUCGGGAAGUUGUGGACCGAUGUUUACAUUGUUGCAUUGUAAUGCAUUCUGUAACCUGGUUGGGGUUGCAAGUCCGGCUGACAGCAAAGUCGACGCUUCGCUUGCCCUUCCUCGCAACCGUCACGAAUGCCGCGAGCCCCUCCAUCGCUCUCUGGGCACAUAAAUGCCUAGCCGGAAUAUUAUUGACAAACGC
rnacentral:lncRNA from 1 species